rnacentral:rRNA from 1 species
UUUCCAGACUCCUACGGGAGGCAGCAGUGGGGAAUAUUGCACAAUGGGGGAAACCCUGAUGCAGCGACGCCGCGUGAGUGAAGAAGUAUUUCGGUAUGUAAAUCUCUAUCAGCAGGGAAGAAAAUGACGGUACCUGACUAAGAAGCCCCGGCUAACUACGUGCCAGCAGCCGCGGUAAUACGUAGGGGGCAAGCGUUAUCCGGAUUUACUGGGUGUAAAGGGAGCGUAGACGGCAGUGCAAGUCUGGAGUGAAAGGCGGAGGCUCAACCCCCGGACUGCUCUGGAAACUGUACGGCUGGAGUGCAGGAGAGGUAAGUGGAAUUCCUAGUGUAGCGGUGAAAUGCGUAGAUAUUAGGAGGAACACCAGUGGCGAAGGCGGCUUACUGGACUGUAACUGACGUUGAGGCUCGAAAGCGUGGGGAGCAAACAGGAUUAGAUACCCUGGUAAA